rnacentral:rRNA from 1 species
GUGUCAGCAGCCGCGGUAAUACGUAGGGGGCAAGCGUUAUCCGGAAUCAUUGGGCGUAAAGCGCGUGUAGGCGGUUCUGUAAGUCCGCUCUGAAAGCCCAGGGCUCAACCCUGGGAGGCGGGUGGAUACUACAGAACUGGAGUACGGAAGAGGAGAUUGGAAUUCCUGGUGUAGCGGUGAAAUGCGCAGAUAUCAGGAGGAACACCAACAGCGAAGGCAGAUCUCUGGGACGUUACUGACGCUGAGACGCGAAAGCGUGGGGAGCAAACAGGAUUAGAAACCCCUGUAGUCC